GGAGAGAAGGUGAUUGGGCCGGCACAUCCAUCACACCUGUCACCCCCCUGAUCGCUCGGUUAUUUUGGUGGAUCUGGCUCAUUAGGCAGGUGUCCCUUUCCACCUUCACUCUUC
rnacentral:sRNA from 1 species